AAUGAACGCUGGCGGCAGGCCUAACACAUGCAAGUCGAACGGGUCCUUCGGGACUAGUGGCGGACGGGUGAGUAACGCGUGGGAACGUGCCCCUUGGUACGGAAUAGCCCCGGGAAACUGGGAGUAAUACCGCAUGUGGUCGAGCGACGAAAGAUUUAUCGCCAAGGGAUCGGCCCGCGUUGGAUUAGGUAGUUGGUGGGGUAAUGGCCUACCAAGCCGACGAUCCAUAGCUGGUUUGAGAGGAUGAUCAGCCACACUGGGACUGAGACACGGCCCAGACUCCUACGGGAGGCAGCAGUGGGGAAUCUUAGACAAUGGGGGAAACCCUGAUCUAGCCAUGCCGCGUGAUCGAUGAAGGCCUUAGGGUUGUAAAGAUCUUUCAGGUGGGAAGAUAAUGACUGUACCACCAGAAGAAGCCCCGGCUAACUCCGUGCCAGCCGCCGCCGUAA
rnacentral:rRNA from 1 species